rnacentral:rRNA from 1 species
CCCUUAGAUGUCCUGGGCCGCACGCGCGCUACACUGACAUGUUCAACAAGUUUCUCCUAGUUCGACAGGACUGGGAAAUCUUUGAACGCAUGUCGUGAUAGGGAUAGAUCAUUGCAAUUAUUGAUCUUGAACGAGGAAUUCCUAGUAAACGCGAGUCAUCAGCUCGCAUUGAUUACGUCCCUGCCCCUUGUACACACCGCCCGUCGCACCUACCGAUUGAAUGUUUCGGUGAAGAUUCCGGAUAGGACUGAUUUGAUUUAUUUCAUUUCUGACCUAAAAGCUAUCUAAACCUCAACAUUUAGAGGAAGGUGAAGUCGUAACA